UACGUAGGUGGCAAGCGUUAUCCGGAAUUAUUGGGCGUAAAGCGCGCGCAGGCGGUUUCUUAAGUCUGAUGUGAAAGCCCACGGCUCAACCGUGGAGGGUCAUUGGAAACUGGGGAACUUGAGUGCAGAAGAGAAAAGCGGAAUUCCACGUGUAGCGGUGAAAUGCGUAGAGAUGUGGAGGAACACCAGUGGCGAAGGCGACUCUUUGGCCUGUAACUGACACUGAGGCGCGAAAGCGUGGGGAGCAAACAGG
rnacentral:rRNA from 1 species